GAAGGCCAGGCUGAGACUUUGCCGGAUUAGCUGAGGGGUGGUGCAUGGCCGUCGUCAGUUCGUACUGUGAAGCAUCCUGUUAAGUCAGGCAACGAGCGAGACCCACGCCCACAGUUGCCAGCGUACUCUCUGGAGUGACGGGUACACUGUGGGACCGCCGCUGCUAAAGCGGAGGAAGGAAUGGGCAACGGUAGGUCAGUAUGCCCCGAAUAUCCCGGGCUACACGCGAGCUACAAUGGUUGGUACAAUGGGUAUCUACCCCGAAAGGGGACGGGAAUCUCCUAAAACCAAUCUUAGUUCGGAUUGAGGGCUGCAACUCGCCCUCAUGAAGCUGGAAUCCGUAGUAAUCGCGUUUCAACAGAACGCGGUGAAUACGUCCCUGCUCCUU
rnacentral:rRNA from 1 species